rnacentral:rRNA from 1 species
GACGUGCUAAUCUGCGAUAAGCGUCGGUAAGGUGAUAUGAACCGUUAUAACCGGCGAUUUCCGAAUGGGGAAACCCAGUGUGAUUCGUCACACUAUCAUUAACUGAAUCCAUAGGUUAAUGAGGCGAACCGGGGGAACUGAAACAUCUAAGUACCCCGAGGAAAAGAAAUCAACCGAGAUUCCCCCAGUAGCGGCGAGCGAACGGGGAGCAGCCCAGAGCCUGAAUCAGUGUGUGUGUUAGUGGAAGCGUCUGGAAAGGCGUGCGAUACAGGGUGACAGCCCCGUACACAAAAAUGCACAUACUGUGAGCUCGAUGAGUAGGGCGGGACACGUGGUAUCCUGUCUGAAUAUGGGGGGACCAUCCUCCAAGGCUAAAUACUCCUGACUGACCGAUAGUGAACCAGUACCGUGAGGGAAAGGCGAAAAGAACCCCGGCGAGGGGAGUGAAAAAGAACCUGAAACCGUGUACGUACAAGCAGUGGGAGCACGCUUAGGCGUGUGACUGCGUACCUUUUGUAUAAUGGGUCAGCGACUUAUAUUCUGUAGCAAGGUUAACCGAAUAGGGGAGCCGAAGGGAAACCGAGUCUUAACUGGGCGUUAAGUUGCAGGGUAUAGACCCGAAACCCGGUGAUCUAGCCAUGGGCAGGUUGAAGGUUGGGUAACACUAACUGGAGGACCGAACCGACUAAUGUUGAAAAAUUAGCGGAUGACUUGUGGCUGGGGGUGAAAGGCCAAUCAAACCGGGAGAUAGCUGGUUCUCCCCGAAAGCUAUUUAGGUAGCGCCUCGUGAAUUCAUCUCCGGGGGUAGAGCACUGUUUCGGCAAGGGGGUCAUCCCGACUUACCAACCCGAUGCAAACUGCGAAUACCGGAGAAUGUUAUUACGGGAGACACACGGCGGGUGCUAACGUCCGUCGUGAAGAGGGAAACAACCCAGACCGCCAGCUAAGGUCCCAAAGUCAUGGUUAAGUGGGAAACGAUGUGGGAAGGCCCAGACAGCCAGGAUGUUGGCUUAGAAGCAGCCAUCAUUUAAAGAAAGCGUAAUAGCUCACUGGUCGAGUCGGCCUGCGCGGAAGAUGUAACGGGGCUAAACCAUGCACCGAAGCUGCGGCAGCGACGCUUAUGCGUUGUUGGGUAGGGGAGCGUUCUGUAAGCCUGUGAAGGUGUGCUGUGAGGUAUGCUGGAGGUAUCAGAAGUGCGAAUGCUGACAUAAGUAACGAUAAAGCGGGUGAAAAGCCCGCUCGCCGGAAGACCAAGGGUUCCUGUCCAACGUUAAUCGGGGCAGGGUGAGUCGACCCCUAAGGCGAGGCCGAAAGGCGUAGUCGAUGGGAAACAGGUUAAUAUUCCUGUACUUGGUGUUACUGCGAAGGGGGGACGGAGAAGGCUAUGUUGGCCGGGCGACGGUUGUCCCGGUUUAAGCGUGUAGGCUGGUUUUCCAGGCAAAUCCGGAAAAUCAAGGCCGAGGCGUGAUGACGAGGCACUACGGUGCUGAAGCAACAAAUGCCCUGCUUCCAGGAAAAGCCUCUAAGCAUCAGGUAACAUCAAAUCGUACCCCAAACCGACACAGGUGGUCAGGUAGAGAAUACCAAGGCGCUUGAGAGAACUCGGGUGAAGGAACUAGGCAAAAUGGUGCCGUAACUUCGGGAGAAGGCACGCUGAUACGUAGGUGAAGCGACUUGCUCGUGGAGCUGAAAUCAGUCGAAGAUACCAGCUGGCUGCAACUGUUUAUUAAAAACACAGCACUGUGCAAACACGAAAGUGGACGUAUACGGUGUGACGCCUGCCCGGUGCCGGAAGGUUAAUUGAUGGGGUUAGCGCAAGCGAAGCUCUUGAUCGAAGCCCCGGUAAACGGCGGCCGUAACUAUAACGGUCCUAAGGUAGCGAAAUUCCUUGUCGGGUAAGUUCCGACCUGCACGAAUGGCGUAAUGAUGGCCAGGCUGUCUCCACCCGAGACUCAGUGAAAUUGAACUCGCUGUGAAGAUGCAGUGUACCCGCGGCAAGACGGAAAGACCCCGUGAACCUUUACUAUAGCUUGACACUGAACAUUGAGCCUUGAUGUGUAGGAUAGGUGGGAGGCUUUGAAGUGUGGACGCCAGUCUGCAUGGAGCCGACCUUGAAAUACCACCCUUUAAUGUUUGAUGUUCUAACGUGGACCCGUGAUCCGGGUUGCGGACAGUGUCUGGUGGGUAGUUUGACUGGGGCGGUCUCCUCCUAAAGAGUAACGGAGGAGCACGAAGGUUGGCUAAUCCUGGUCGGACAUCAGGAGGUUAGUGCAAUGGCAUAAGCCAGCUUGACUGCGAGCGUGACGGCGCGAGCAGGUGCGAAAGCAGGUCAUAGUGAUCCGGUGGUUCUGAAUGGAAGGGCCAUCGCUCAACGGAUAAAAGGUACUCCGGGGAUAACAGGCUGAUACCGCCCAAGAGUUCAUAUCGACGGCGGUGUUUGGCACCUCGAUGUCGGCUCAUCACAUCCUGGGGCUGAAGUAGGUCCCAAGGGUAUGGCUGUUCGCCAUUUAAAGUGGUACGCGAGCUGGGUUUAGAACGUCGUGAGACAGUUCGGUCCCUAUCUGCCGUGGGCGCUGGAGAACUGAGGGGGGCUGCUCCUAGUACGAGAGGACCGGAGUGGACGCAUCACUGGUGUUCGGG